CAGUGAGUGGUGACAGCGCCACUGCACUCCAGUGUGAGCAAGAGUGAGACACUGUCUCAAAACAAAACAAAAAGCCAGGCGCGGUGGCUCACGCCUGUAAUCCCAGCACUUUGGGAGGCCGAGGCAGGUGGAUCAUGAGGUCAGAAGUUCAAGACCAGCCUGACCAACGGGGUGAAACCCCAUCUCUACUAAAAAUACAAAAAUUAGGCCGGGCACAGUGGCUCACACCUGUAAUCCCCAUACUUUGGAAGUCUGAGGCGGGCAGAUCGCCUCAGGUCAGGAGUUCGAGACCAGCCUGGCCAACAUGGUGAAACUGUCUCUACUAAAAAUACAAAAAUUAACUGAGUGUGGUGGCUUUCAUGCGCGUCCGUGUGAAGAGACCACCAAACAGGCUUUGUGUGAGCAAUAAAGCUGUUUAUUUCACCUGGGUGCAGGUGGGCUGAGUCCGAAAAGAGUCAGCGAAGGGAGAUAGGGGUGGGGCUGUUUUAUAGUAUUUGGGAAGGUAAUGGAAAAUUACAGUCAAAGGGCGGGCAGGAGUGGGGGGUCGCAAGGUGCUCAGUGGGGGUGCUUCUGAGCCAGGAGAAGGAAAUUUGCAGGGUUAAUCACUCAGUUAAGGUGGGGCAGGAACAAAUCACAAUGGUGGAAUGUCAUCAGUUAAGGCGGGGCAGGGCCUUUUCACUUCUUUUGUGAUUCUUCAGUUACUUCAGGCCAUCUGGGUGUAUAUGUGCAAGGCACAGGGGAUGCGAUGGCUUGGCUUGGGCUCAGAGGCCUGACAGUGGCACACGCCUGUAAUCCCAGCUACUUGGGAGCCUGAGGCAGGAGAAUCACUUGAACCCAGGAGGUGCAGGGUGCAGUGAGCCGAGAUCGCCCCACUGCACUCCAGCCUGGGCAACAGAGACUCCAUCUCAAAAAAACAAAAAAAAAAGCACAGGUCCCCUCCCUCAGUCCUGCAGACUUCCUCAAGCUGGGAAGGACCAAGGAUUUUGGGAAAUAACUCCACCGGCUUACAGACAGUGCACCCCAGGACAAAGAGUCAUGGUGUAAAUUUUAAUUAUCCUUUGUAGAGGCUUCAAAAAAAAAAAAAUCUAGAGUGCAGAGGUUCAGUCUGGUCCACACAGUUCUGAAUGCCUUUUAAUUAUCAUCACACACACCAGAGAAGGUCAUCUUAGAAUAUUUAAUCAGUUAGCACUAGAUGAAGGCUGGAGUAGGAGAGACUGGGAUAGUGGGGGGCAAUGUGGGGAUGGAGCCAUGAGCCACUGUGCCUGCCCAGUUAUUAUUUUAUAAAUGUAGAAACCGAGGCACUGAGAGGUAAAGUAACUUGCACAGGAUCACAAGCCAGCCGAGAAGUGGUAGAGCUUGGAUUUGAACUUACACAAUCUGGGACUCAUACUCUUAAUACACAGUGGUACUGUCAAUACAGGAGACACAUGUGGCUAUUUAAUUAAAAGUAGUUGGGCAGAGUGGCUCACUCCUAUAAUCUCAGCAUUUGGGGAGGCCAAGGCAGGAAGAUUGUUUGAGCCCAGAAGUUCAACACUGCAGUGAGCUAUAGUUACACCACUGUGCUCCAGCCUGGGCGACACAGCGAGACCCUGACUCCAAAAAAAAAUCUUAAGGUUUUUUUUUUUUUUUUUUUUUUUUUGAGACAGGGUCUCGCUCUGUUGCCCAGGCUAGAAUUUAGCGGCACGAUCACAGAUCAUCACAGCCACGCACGACCUCCUUGGCUCAAGGGAUUCCUCCCACCUCAGCCUCUCACGUAGCUGGGACUACAGGUAUGCAUAACCUCGCUGGGCUCGUUACUUUGUUUUUUUUUUAGAGGCAGGAUUUCACCAUGUUGCCCAGGGUGGUCUCGUACUCCUGGAUUCAAGCAAUCCUCCUGCUUCGGCCUCCCAAAGUGUCAGGAUUACAGGCGUGAGCCACUGUGCCCAGUCUCAAACAAAAUUAAAAAUUCAGUUUCUCAGUCACACUAGCCACAUUUCAAGUGCUCAGAAACUUUAUGUGGGGCCAGGCAUGGUGGCUCAUGCCUGCAAUCCCAGCACUUUGGGAGGCCGAGGCGGGCGGAUCACGAGGUCAGGAGUUCGAGACCAGCCUAACCAACAUGGUGAAACCCUGUCUCUACUAAAAAAAUACAAAAAUUAGCCGGGCGUGGUGGUGUGCGCCUGUAAUCUCAGCUACUUGGGAGGUUGAGGCGGGAGCAUUGCUUGAACCCGGGAGGCGGAGGAUGUGGUGAGCCGACGUCGUGCCAUUGCACUCCAGCCUGGGCAAUAAGAGCGAAACUCCGUCUCAAAAAAAAAAAACAAAGGUUUAUGUGGCCACUGGCUACUGUACUGGACAGUACAGACCUAGAACAUGAACCAAACAUCACAGAAAGUUCCAGUGGAGAACACUGCUACAUAUCUGCCUGUUUUAGUUAGAAGCCAACAUUUUAUUUUUAUUUUAUUUUAUUUUUUGAGAUGGAGUUUCGCUGCUGUUGCCCAGGCUGGAGUGCAAUGGUGCGAUCUCGGCUCACCACAACCUCCGCCUCCCAGGUUCAAGCAAUUCUCCUGCCUCAGCCUCCUGAGUAGCUGGGAUCACAGGCAUGCUCCACCACGCCCAGCUAAUUUUGUAUUUUUAGUAGAGAUGGGGUUUCU
rnacentral:lncRNA from 1 species